UGCGCAGGCGGGCUAUUAAGUCAGUGGUGAAAUCUCUCGGCUCAACCGAGAAACUGCCAUUGAAACUGAUAGUCUUGAGUAUAGUUGUAGUAGGCGGAAUAUAGCAUGUAGCGGUGAAAUGCUUAGAUAUGCUAUAGAACACCGAUCGCGAAGGCAGCUUACUAAACUAUUACUGACGCUCAUGCACGAAAGCGUGGGGAGCAAACAGGAUUAGAUACCCUGGUAGUCC
rnacentral:rRNA from 1 species